UGUGGAUAUACACUCAGAGUAACAUCACAAAUAUAAUAUUCACCUGAGUACACAACACCAACACAGAAAAAAAAGAUAGGUUUACUAAAGCAAAUUCCGCGCUAAAAACGUCAAUAAAUAUCGGGCUGUUGUGAUUUUGCUGUUACUCGUAAUGAGCGUCAAGAUGGCGCCAUAUUGGGGUAAAGGUGGUAUAUUGUGAUUGUCAUAUCUUCUUAACGAGUUCGGUGACCCCGACUUGAUUUUACUUUAAGUAUAUCAUAAUUUUCCAUAAACUCCAUGCCUGGGAAAUUUCAGCACAUUCUCAUUUCGGGAACAAUUACUGCGGAAUUACUUUAAUUGAAGAAACUAUAACUUUGAGAUUUAGAAUCAAAGCAUCUUGUAUAUAUUACAUUUUCCAUGAUUUGUUCGGAUUAAUUAAUUAAAAAAAAAUAGCUUUAAAAUCUGGUUCAAUUUGCGACAAGAAAAAUUAAAAAAAAAAUACAAAAAUGACCGACAGAUUCGGAAUCCGACCCCAAGAGUCAGCACUUGUUUCCAUCUACCAAACUGACGUGAAAUCAUUUUCGGAAGAUAGAAGAGGUGUUAAAUGGCUAUUUAUGUAUGCAACUAACCCAAACCCCACCCGUACUCUAGCCCCUAACCGCAACCCUAAGUCCUAACCAAAAUAAAAAAAAAUUCAAAAAGAAACAACUUCUAAUAGAAAUUGAUCAAAUGAAGCAACGUCAGUUUGAUAGAUGGAAACAAGUGAAAAGCCCAAGACUACCCGUUUGCAGGAAAAAAUAGUGCGGACAGACAAAAAGACUGGGGCGAGAGUAAGUAGAUUUAAAAUCAUCAUCGUUUAUUCGGAGUUUUUAAUUUGUUCUUGGUAUUUCAAAACAUACUCGCGUACGAAAAGCAUAUACUAGUGAUUAGAAGAUAAAUAAAGUGAGGGAAAAAAAGAUUUUACAUAAUAAAAAGCGACGAAACAAAAACGUGUCAGGAG